CCUACGGGUGGCAGCAGUGGGGAAUAUUGCACAAUGGGGGAAACCCUGAUGCAGCGACGCCGCGUGUGUGAAGAAGUACUUCGUUUUGUAAAGCUCUAUCAGCAGGGAAGAAAAUGACAAUACCUGUGUAAUAACCCCCGGAUAACUCCGUCCCAGCAACCGCGGUCAUACGGAGGGGGCAAGCGUUAGCCGGAAUUACUGGGUGAAACGGGAGCGUAGACGGCAGGGCAAGUCUGGAGUGAAAGGCGGGGGCUCAACCCCCGGACUGCUCUGGAAACUGUACGGCUGGAGUGCAGGAGAGGGAAGUGGAAUUCCGAGUGUAGCGGUGAAAUGCGUAGAGAUUAGGAGGAACACCAGUGGCGAAGGCGGCUUACUGGACUGUAACUGACGUUGAGGUGCGAAAGCGUGGGGAGCAAACAGGAUUAGAUACCCUUGUAGUC
rnacentral:rRNA from 1 species